CUUCAGGAGUGAAGCUGCAGACCUUCGCGUGAUGGAGGUUGAGAAGUCCAACUUCAAGGCACCACAUCUGGUGAGAGCCUUCAUUCCGAUGACAGCCUUCAUGCUGGUAAGAUUUUCUUCAGAGUUCCAAGGUGGUGCACGGCAUCACAUGGCGAAGGAAAUGAGCGUGCUAGCUCAGGUGUCUCUUCCUCUUCUUAUAAAGCCACCAGUCCCACUCCUGUGCUAGUAACUCUUUAAUCCAUCAACCCAUUAAUCCAUGAAUAGAUUAACCCAUGAGGCCUCUGCCCUCAGGACCCAAUCACCUCUUAAAGGCCUGACCUGUCAAUAUUGCCAUACUGGGGACUCAGUUUCAACAUGAGUUUUGAAAGGGACAAACAUUCAAUCCAUAGUAACAUGAGAGCUUUUCAAAGCCCUUCUUUGUUGAAGUAUGUCCUUCUCCAGCCUCUUUUUUCCCAGGCUUUUUGUUUUUUCUAUUGCUUGUGCAGCUGUUAUCCUUUGCUACAGGUGGCAAUAGCUAAUACAUUUGCCUUUAAAUUUGUUUGACAAACACCACCCUGGAAGUAGCCUCAACUCUGGGGAAGCUCCAAGACAGGUAAAAUACAGCAACCUGCAGCAGGAAAAUGGGCUUCAGUUUUCAAGUCUGCAGCUGAGUUGGGAAGUUGCGGACAGUAACCAGGAUCGCUGUCCUUAUAAGAAGUGGAAGAAACAUCAGAGAGCUCUCCCUCUCCACACACACAGAGGAAAGGCCACAUGGGGACAAGAGAGGGCAACUGUCUACAAAUCUGGAAGAGAGACUUCAGAAGAAACCAGCACUGAUGGCAUCUGAUCUUGGACUUCCAGCCUCUGGAUCUAUCUGCCAGAGCCUGAUCUCAUACACACUGAUGUGGUACAGGAAAUGCCACCUGAAAAUAUGGUACCUUGGCAUUUGAGGAAACAGUAGAAGGAGGUCAUAGAAACUAGAAAGAAUUCCUCCUUGCUCUUUGUCCCCCAAAGGAGCCAUAAAACCUGGGCCGAGUUUCUUCUGAAAAUAAGUUAUAAGAUCCUUAUUCCAGAGGGGUCCUGCCCUGUGCCUGGAGGAAAAGAAUGAAGACACAGAGAUGCCUUGAAGAAUCUGAACAAACAGCCCUUGCUAAGUUCCCCCCAGUUUAUUGACAUUAGAUUAGACCUUUUGUCCUCCAAUUAUACUUCUGUGUUCCUGAAAAUACACAUUUUCCCGUUUUUUCUUUUGUUUGCUUUUUUUGAUCUUCAUUUCUGAAGA
rnacentral:lncRNA from 1 species